UGGGGAAUAUUGGACAAUGGGCGCAAGCCUGAUCCAGCCAUGCCGCGUGAGUGACGAAGGUCUUCGGAUUGUAAAGCUCUUUUGCCAGGGACGAUAAUGACGGUACCUGGAGAAUAAGCCCCGGCUAACUUCGUGCCAGCAGCCGCGGUAAUACGAAGGGGGCUAGCGUUGUUCGGAAUUACUGGGCGUAAAGCGCACGUAGGCGGAUAUGUAAGUCAGGGGUGAAAUCCCGGGGCUCAACCUCGGAACUGCCUUUGAUACUGCAAGUCUUGAGUCCGGAAGAGGUGAGUGGAAUUCCUAGUGUAGAGGUGAAAUUCGUAGAUAUUAGGAAGAACACCAGUGGCGAAGGCGGCUCACUGGUCCGGUACUGACGCUGAGGUGCGAAAGCGUGGGGAGCAAACAGG
rnacentral:rRNA from 1 species